AAAAAAAAAAAAAGAAGAAAAAAACCAGAUUGAACUGAACCAAAUUGAAAUAUUGAUUUCAGUAAUUUGGUCUCCUCCAAAUCCCUAAUUCACAGAAACCCAUUGCUUCCUUAAAUCCCCAAUUGACAGAAAUUCAUUACUGCAAAUGCAAAAUUCUAGAUAAUUUUGGAAUAGCAAAUGUAGAUGGUAAUAAGAAUCCAUCAACGGAGAAGAACAAGUAUUGCAGACAGUAUGCAGAAAGUG
rnacentral:misc_RNA from 1 species